rnacentral:lncRNA from 1 species
GCCAUCCGCAUCCCAUCCCAGGAGUUCACCGGCGGUCUGGUGGUUGGCGGUGGCAACUCGCCGAAGAGCCCCACCGCUGCCUCCAUGGAGAGUUACACCCUGGAGGGCACCAAGAAGCAGGGCAUUUCCCUGAAGACGAAGAAGAAGCUGCUGGUAAGCGUCAAGGUCAUGCCUUGGGAUUACUUCCAUGCCUCUUGAGCUGGUGCACUGGUGCGCAAAGCAGUGCAAGGAAUGAGGGGAUAUUCUAAUGAUUUUCGUGAAUGGGAACGACUGGGCGUCCCCUCGAAGUCAGCGAUGUGGAAGCACGCUCACAAUGACCAAAUUUAUUGUCGCUUCGGAUUAGUUAUGAAACGGUAACGUGGAAGCGCUGUUCCAACCUGAAACGUUGCUUGUGUCUGCAUUCCUACCUGCAGGCUAAGGUGCGGGAGCAGGCGCAGAAGGUUGCCAGCUCGUAAGCGUUCUCUCCUGGACGAACGACAUCCGUUGGGCAUACCAUGUGAUGAUGUUGGGCCAUUUUCUAGGAAGCAGCAAGGCC